AUUGAACGCUGGCGACAUGCCUUACACAUGCAAGUCGAAAGGCAGCACGGGUGCUUGCAUCUGGUGGCGAGUGGCGAACGGGUGAGUAAUACAUCGGAACGUACCUUAUCGUAGGGGAUAACGCAGCGAAAGCUGUGCUGAUACUGCAUACGUCCUGAGGGGGAAGGCGGGGGAUCGAAAGACCUCGCGCGAAUCGCGCGGCAGAUUCCUGAUUAGCUUGUGGGCGGGGUAAAGGCCCACCAAGGCGACGAUCAGAAGCUGGUCUGAGAGGACGAUCAGCCACACUGGGACUGAGACACGGCCCAGACUCCUACGGGAGGCAGCAGUGGGAAAGUUUGGACAAUGGAGGCAACCCUGAUCCAGCAAUGCCGCGUGAGUGAAGAAGUCCUUCGAGUCGUAAAGCUCUUUUGUCAGGGAAGAAACGCCGGCUCUAACACAGUCCGGGAAUGACGGUACCUGAAGAAUAAGCACCGGCUAACUACGUGCCAGCAGCCGCAGUAA
rnacentral:rRNA from 1 species